GACGAACGCUGGCGGCGUGCUUAACACAUGCAAGUCGAACGGAAAGGCCCUGCUUUUGUGGGGUGCUCGAGUGGCGAACGGGUGAGUAACACGUGAGUAACCUGCCCUUGACUUUGGGAUAACUUCAGGAAACUGGGGCUAAUACCGGAUAGGAGCUCCUGCUGCAUGGUGGGGGUUGGAAAGUUUCGGCGGUUGGGGAUGGACUCGCGGCUUAUCAGCUUGUUGGUGGGGUAGUGGCUUACCAAGGUUUUGACGGGUAGCCGGCCUGAGAGGGUGACCGGCCACAUUGGGACUGAGAUACGGCCCAGACUCCUACGGGAGGCAGCAGUGGGGAAUAUUGCACAAUGGGCGGAAGCCUGAUGCAGCAACGCCGCGUGCGGGAUGACGGCCUUCGGGUUGUAAACCGCUUUCGCCUGUGACGAAGCGUGAGUGACGGUAAUGGGUAAAGAAGCACCAGCUAACUACGUG
rnacentral:rRNA from 1 species